GUGAACUGAGAAUUUUUCAAGAGUAAUAUAUUCAAUGUUCAAGCAUAGAAAACAUAUAAUGUCUUCUAAGUAGUAUAGGAACAUGUAGAAGUACAUAUAGUAAGUUCAAAUUUGCCACAUUAAAAGACAUUAUUAGUGGUAGAUGGGUUGUGAAAAUGCUUGCAAAAGUAGAAGAAGAAGAAGAUGGGUUGCGAAAAUGGAUUAGAGUUGUUAAACUUGACAUCUUUAAUUCAGCUUCAAAUCUUUCUGCCCCUACUAAGAGCAGAAUUAAGUA
rnacentral:misc_RNA from 1 species